UGCUCCCUGCCGGGGCUGCAGCCCUUGCCCCCGCGGCUCCGAGCCGCGGGAGGGGGGCUCCCCGCUGCCUGCCCAAGCCUCGGGACAGGAGAUGUGGGUAGGUUUCCUGAGUGGCUUUUGUCUUCUGCUGCCUGGAUGGACCCACGGGGCUCUGUCACCUGAGGCUGGAGAAGUGGGACGUCAGAGGAGUCAGAUGAGGAGACCAGAAGGUCCAGGAAAGCUCCCGUCUGAUGGAGAAGGACAGCGGGACACGUCCUUCGAGGGGACACUGGCUGACAGAAAUGUGUCCUGAAUAACAAACAGCUUUGUUCUGUGGACCAGCCCUUCCUGCUGUGCUGCCAGGGAAGGUCCAAGAUGGGAAUUUUUAGCCUGGGGAGCACCCAGCCUGCAGGAAUGGGCUGUGUCAGGCUGUGAGGGGUCAGGCCAACCUCCAGAGCUUUCACACCCCCCAAAGGACCAGAUCCUGAACAUUCCUUUUUGGCCACACCAGUAUUUAAAAUCUUCCAGUCAGACUCAGGAAAGAGAGAGAAUCAUCGACAUCUUAGGAUAUAAUUCAAUUUCUAGCUAAUGAAGGUUAAAAUAUAUUUAUAAUUGCUCUCUCAUAUCUUCUGGCUGCUAAGGAUUUAAUAGGAGAUUUCUAACAAUACCACAGUCUUUAACCUCAUAAAUGGUUCACACCAUCCAGGCUGGCAGCUGAAGCUCAAUAAAUUCCAGCUAAAGACACAAUUCUGAUGUUGAAGAGCAAGUGUAAUUAAGCUCUGAACAAUUUAGAAAAUCUACUCUAGGUCCAGCUGUCUCAUAAGGUCUUUUAAGUCACGAAUUAAUCUUAAGAAUAUGCUUUGGCUCAGCCAGGGAGGAGGGGUCUGACUCGUGAAUCCAGAGUUCCUGGGAGAAGUGAUUUGCUUUUUAAGUGCAAGAAAUUGAGUUGUACGAAGAAGGUCCCUGCUUUGCUCUUUAGAAGGUGGCACCAACAAAUUCCCUCUGGAGUGACAAGCCUGUAAUGUACCAUGGGGCCAGAUCACUUGCAGGACUUUGUGAAUAACCCACAUUUGUUCAACAGGCUCCUGGAGCCUUUUCAAAGCCAUGUUGUUUGCCCUGCUUUUCCAACCAGCAAUAUUUUAAAAAGCAAGUGGCACAUCUGCAGCUCCAGGUUUACCUUGAGC